CCUACGGGUGGCAGCAGUGAGGAAUAUUGGUCAAUGGGCGGGAGCCUGAACCAGCCAAGCAGCGUGAAGGAAGAAGGCGCCAGGCGUCGUAAACUUCUUUUGUCGGGGAAUAAAGGGCGCCACGUGUGGCGUUGUGAGUGUACCCGAAGAAAAAGCAUCGGCUAACUCCGUGCCAGCAGCCGCGGUAAUACGGAGGAUGCGAGCGUUAUCCGGAUUUAUUGGGUUUAAAGGGUGCGUAGGCGGGUCGUGAAGUCAGCCGUUAAAGGCUGGGGCUUAACCCCGGCCGGGCCGUUGAAACUGUCGGACUAGAGACGGCGAGAAGUACGCGGAAUGCGCGGUGUAGCGGUGAAAUGCAUAGAUAGCGCGAAGAACUCCGAUUGCGAAGGCAGCGUACCGGCGCCGGACUGACGCUGAGGCACGAAAGCGUGGGUAUCGAACAGGAUUAGAUACCCUGGUAGUC
rnacentral:rRNA from 1 species